AUUCCUGUACUACAGUAUGACAGAACUGUGGGGACGCAGAAGGAGAGCACUACCUGGAAUGGAAUCCAGGGGCAAGCACAGGAGGGGUACGGCUGGAAAAACCGCCGUGCAACCCAAAGGUGUGACGCAUACCGAACUAAAGUAGGGAAAUGUGUGAGCCGGCUGCCGAGAAAAGCCGCUAUUGUUUGUACUGUACCCGUACCGUAAACCGACACAGGUGGAUGAGGAGAGAAUCCUAAGGCCGACGGAAGAAGCAUUGCUAAGGAACUCGGCAAAAUGACCCUGUAACUUCGGGAGAAAGGGUGCCUCGAAAGAGGCCGCAGAGAAUAGGCCCAAGCAACUGUUUAGCAAAAACACAGGUCUAUGCAAAACCGCAAGGUGAAGUAUAUGGGCUGACGCCUGCCCGGUGCUGGAAGGUUAAGGGGAGAUGUCAGGAGACGAAGCGUCGAACUUAAGCCCCAGUAAACGGCGGCCGUAACAAUAACGGUCCUAAGGUAGCGAAAUUCCUUGUCGGGUAAGUUCCGACCCGCACGAAAGGCGUAAUGAUUUGGGCGCUGUCUCGGCAAUGCAUCCGGUGAAAUUGAAGUGCCAGUGAAGAUGCUGGCUACCCGCGCCAGGACGGAAAGACCCCAUGGAGCUUUACUCCAGCUUGAUACUGGGAUUCGGUAUUGUAUGUACAGGAUAGGUGGGAGGCUGAGAAAUGGUGACGCCAGUCGCCAUGGAGCCGCUGUUGGGAUACCACCCUUGCAGUACUGGAUUUCUAACCAGCAGCCGUGAUCCGGCUGGGGGACAAUGUCAGGUGGGGAGUUUGACUGGGGCGGUCGCCUCCGAAAGGGUAUCGGAGGCGCUCAAAGGUUCCCUCAGAAUGGUCGGAAACCAUUCGAAGAGUGCAAAGGCAGAAGGGAGCUUGACUGCGACACCGACGGGUGGGGCAGGUACGAAAGUAGGACUUAGUGAUCCGGUGGUAUUAAGUGGGAAUGCCAUCGCUCAACGGAUAAAAGCUACCCUGGAUAACAGGCUUAUCACUCCCAAGAGUUCACAUCGACGGAGUGGUUUGGCACCUCGAUGUCGGCUCAUCGCAUCCUGGGGCUGUAGUAGGUCCCAAGGGUUGGGCUGUUCGCCCAUUAAAGCGGUACGCGAGCUGGGUUCAGAACGUCGUGAGACAGUUCGGUCCCUAUCCGGCGUGGGCGUAGGAUAUUUGAGAGGAGCUGACCUUAGUACGAGAGGACCGGGUUGGACUGACCUCUGGUGCACCGGUUGUCAUGCCAAUGGCACAGCCGGGUAGCCAAGUCGGGAAGGGAUAAACGCUGAAGGCAUCUAAGCGUGAAGCCCCCCUCAAGAUGAGAUAUCCCCCGCAUAAGCGGUAAGACCCCUUGAAGACGACGAGGUAGAUAGGGCAGAGGUGGAAGUGCAGUAAUGUAUGGAGCUGACUGCUACUAAUAGGUCGAAGGCCUA
rnacentral:rRNA from 1 species